UGCAGGCGUUGCAAGUGUCCGUCAACCUCUGCCCAUGGUUCCAUCAGCACAGAGCAGAGUCUUCGACUAGACAAGAAGCACCAGCCAUGGAUCGAUGAGAGGUACAAAAGCACAUUGCCACCAAACUGAAGACAACUUGCGACUCUGAAGAUCAAAGAGGCACUGUGAAAGCACUCCAAAAGGCCGUUGGUAGACAUUUUAACAAAAUUUUAUGAAAGUAAAAACUCACUAAACUCAGGUACCAAGGAAUAAGGCUUCGUUUCAUUAUUAACACCACUUCCUUCCUUAAGCAAUCAAACGAAUCAUCAAACGAAAAGUUGAAGACAUUUUUCUGCUCUACAAAGACAAAAACAAACAGCUUCUGUUGGAAUCAACUACAAUGGGGAUUGUUGUCAAGUUUUCAAGGAUCAAUUAU